UUUUUUUUGGCGGACCUGACUGCUAUCGGAUUGGUACUAAGCCAUUUGAGUCGUUGUAGCAAUACAAGGCGGACGGCUCAGUAACACGUAGUCAACCUAACCUAUGGACGUGGAUAACCUCGGGAAACUGAGAAUAAACCGCGAUAGAUCAUUAUGCCUGGAAUGGCUUAUGGUUCAAACAAUUUAUUGCCGUAGGAUGGGACUGCGGCCUAUCAGCUUGUUGGUGAGGUAAUGGCCCACCAAGGCUAUAACAGGUACGGGCUCUGAGAGGAGAAGCCCGGAGAUGGGUACUGAGACACGGACCCAGGCCCUAUGGGGCGCAGCAGGCGAGAAACCUUAGCAAUGUGCGAAAGCACGACUAGGUUAAUCCGAGUGAUUUCUGUUGAAGAAAUCUUUUGUCAGUCGUAAAACCACAGACGAAUAAGGGGUGGGCAAGUCUGGUGUCAGCCGCCGCGGUAAUACCAGCACCUCGAGUGGUCAGGAGGUUUAUUGGGCCUAAAGCAUCCGUAGCCGGCUACGCAAGUCUCCGGUUAAAUCCAGCUGCUCAACAGAUGGGCUGCCGGAGAUACUACAUAGCUAGGGAGCGGGAGAGGUAGACGGUAUUCUGUGGGUAGGGGUAAAAUCCACUGAUCCAUAGAGGACCACCAGUGGAGAAGGCGGUCUACCAGAACGCGUUCGACGGUGAGGGAUGACAGCUGGGGGAGCAAACCGGAUUAGAUACCCGGGUAGUCCCAGCUGUAAACGAUGCAAACUCGGUGAUGCAUUGGCUUAUGGCCAAUGCAGUGCCGCAGGGAAGCCGUGAAGUUUUAUAGGGCCACGUACGG
rnacentral:rRNA from 1 species